rnacentral:rRNA from 1 species
UACGAAGGUGGCAAGCGUUGUUCGGAUUUACUGGGCGUACAGGGAGCGUAGGCGGUUGGAUAAGCCCUCCGUGAAAUCUCCAGGCUUAACCUGGAAAGUGCAGAGGGGACUGUUCAGCUAGAGGAUGGGAGAGGAGCGCGGAAUUCCCGGUGUAGGCGGUGAAAUGCGUAGAGAAUCGGGAGGAAGGCCGGUGGCGAAGGCGGGCGCUCUGGAACAUUUCUGACGCUGAGGCUCGAAAGCGUGGGGAGCAAAC